AUUUCCCUGCCCUGUUCGUGAAUCGGACGGAUACUCUUUGAGCCGAUAGUUUGCACAAGGGGACCCCUCUCCUGUCGCGACCGACACGCCCUUCUCGGGAAGUCGAAUGCGCCGGGGCGGUCACCCACCCUGUAACCCAGGGUUCAAAGUUCUCGUCCUCCUACGGCAGGGCGGGGUUUUU
rnacentral:other from 1 species